CCCCUCACAGGAUGGCACCUGGAGAGUUUCCAGUGCUCUUCCAGUCUCGGCUAUGAGAGGGAGAGUCAAGUAAAGGCAUAAUCAUUCCAUUUCUAGCUUGAGCAGUGGCUAGGUAGUGGAAGACAAUCUGCUACAAGU